ensembl:lncRNA
AUUUGCUUUCCAUUUUUCAGAGGCUGCUUUAAAGACAGGCUAAAUUAUUAACCAGAGGCACUAACAUUUGGAAAACAAAAAGCUCAAGGACGUACAUACAGUAGCUCUAAACCUGCAGUGGUGUGGGGGAUGUUUCUUGACUGAUAUUGGAAGUGUAGAAUUAGCAUAAUCAGCAGUCAUUACUCCAGAGUCUCUGGACUCUUUGAUACUCUUGCUGUGAGCAGAAUGUGCUUCAACAUGCUGUGUUCCACUCAUUGAGAAAAUGAAAGAUUUGAAGAGACUGUGGAUUAAUGAUCUCCAGUUGGCCAGUUUCACUUGUGUAGGUAACAGCAGAUGGCAGAAGAGGGGCAGUCUGACAAAAUGGUGUCUGACAUGGAAGUGCGGAUGAAGCAAAGGUGUGUCACUGACUUCCUUCAUGUGGAAAAAAUGCCACCCACUGACAUUCAUCAGUGCUUGCUGAAUGCUUAUGGAGACCAAAAAGUGGAGCAUGUUCCCUAGCCUCACAGACCUCAGAUCUGUAGUUGAAGCACUGGAGCUGAAACCGUAUCAUUGGCACUGGGACAACUAGGCUGGACUUGGAUAAUUCCAGAAUCCUCACUGCAAGACCUGAUACAUCUUCUCAGAUGGGACAGUUAAGCAGUUUCACUAUUACUUGCUCUCCUUCUUCCCUAUUCCCCUGUGGUUGAUUCACACAAAAAUAAAUUAUCUUCAUCAGCUAUACUUUUCAUGCACAGCUCUUGGUCUAGGCUGCUGGUUUAAAAGAUCUGAAUUAAAAUCUAUUUACUUCCAGUGUCACGUUGAAAUACUGGUUUAUUUGCAGGAAAUGUUUCAUUUUGUUUUUCUUUUAGGAUUCUUUUUUCUUUCACUUCCUUUAUUUUAAGAUAUAUUUUACCACUUCCUAUUUCAGCCUUUGUAUAAGUACUUGUUGAUAAUCUAUUAUUUUUUCUAAUUAUAUUUUUAUAUCUCCUUUAUUCAGUGUACUGCUGAAGGAAAAGCAGAACAAUAAUAAAAGUAAAUGAGCUAUAUGGUUGAGAUGAAAAUUAAAUAGCCUUUCUGAAUUUGUCAGUUUUCUACAUAGUUUUUAUUUGAGAGUUUAUUAUAAAUGCAACCAUGCUGAAUUGAAGUUGUAAAGACUUGUUCUGCCUUUCCCUACUUCCUUUGUGCUUGCUUUUGUGGCUGUGGUGAAGCAUGAAGUAUUCAAUUUAAUAAUUACAUUUAAAAGAAAGUUAAUUAUACAAAGCUGCUCUGUGCCACAUCCACAUAAAUACAUUUAGUUGUCAAAUUUGCUGAAAUUUGAAUCUCCCUGGAAGAGCAUUAGUAUUACAAUUUUGCACACUUCAACAGCAGCUAUGUAAAUACUCAACUCUGAAAUCAAAUGCUAAUUUUUCCCAAGGAUUAGAUAAGUCAUGUAGCUAAUAUUUUUGUUGACUUUUAUCCCAAUAAGAUUUGCACUGUCCUACUUACAAUGUGAAAAAAUAGAUUUCUGGUUAGGACACUUGGCAAUCACGGGGAUGUUGCAGUUCAGAUCCAGUUGUUGAUGUGUUCUCAUACAUUUUCAGUCACAUCAUGUUUUUAAAACAUGCUCAGUCAUAUUUUUAGGAUAUGUUGAUUUUUUUGUGUGUUUGGAGGUGAAGACAAUAUUUUACACAGUCAUAUAUACUGUAAGCUGCUAAAUAGCAUAUCCUUUUAAUGUGACAAAUAUCUAUACUGUUAGCUAACAUGGACAGUGCAAUCUCAUUGUGGGAGUUAAAUGAUGAGAUGAAAUAGCCCAUGAUCUUGGAAAUGUGGGUUACAGUUUCUUAGGUAUUACAGACUAUAUCACUAAUGAAGCAAUUUGUUCUGUGUCCACUCACAUUUCAUUUGCUGCCAUCAACAAUUAAGAGAUGUCGUAGUAAGGUCAUCGUAGAUUAACACCUUGUCUUUGCAAAGAUCUCAUUAAAAUAGAGAGGAAUUCUAAUUCCUAGCCAAGAUAAUGUUAAUUUGAUGAGAGAAUAAAUAUUGUGGAAGCAAUUUGUGCAAGAGAAAUGAAUGUUAAAGGUAUUAUUCUCUUUUCAAUAAAAGAAGUAAUUCUUACAUGGAAAGAUAGCCUAUUGAAAAAAAUAGUCAGACAUGUUACUGCAGGAAAUGGUUAGAUACCUUGGCCUGGUUAAGGAAGCAUGUCAUGUUGUCCGAGAUUUGCACAGAUGUGCAGAGCCAUAAAUAAAUUGAACAGAAAAUAAGAUUUCUCCCUUUGCUGGUUGCCAGUGUUACAGUUAAACUACAAAGAAAGUAAUUUCUCCAACCAUCAUACAUUUACUUCCCAGUCAUCCUCGAAUGCUUGUAACAGUGAAGGGCGUUGUAAUUGACAUUUCAUUCUAAUACACUGGCUGCCUUGCCUGAAUUUUGGCUGGUUGAUAAGGCUCUUGGAAAUCCAGAGUCUCAUCAUGUCCUGAACAAUUUCAAUCCAGCCCUAUGGCAAUCUAAGCGCUUAACCAGCAAAACAGGAAAGACAAUAUUUGGAGAUGCUACCUUUCAAAAUGCACACAGCAGAGUAACUGAAAUAAUCAAAUUGCUCCUGAAUAAUCCUUUUUCAAAUUUGAAAGCAGAAUGAAGAAAAGAUUUAAAAGAAUAUACAUGUCAAUUUAAGCAAAUAAAAUGUGCAGACAUGAAUUCAUCACAACUGUAUUGUCACUGACGUUGCAUUUCAGAUAAAUUUGAUGAUAAUAUCACAUUUUUUUAAAGGAGGAAAAAAAUCAAUAAUUUUGUCUACAGACUUUGCAUUAUAUUCCAGUUACUUGAAAGAAAAUGUCAUGUGCAUCAACUCAUUCUUCAGGAUGUACUUUCUGAAAAGAUGUGGAUAAUAUUACAUAGACUAAGGGGAACACAGCUACGUUUGAGCUGCUUUAAGGCAAUGGUCCAUGUGCAUGCCCUACCAUGUGGAACCCUGUUGAGAAUCAGAGUUUAUUCAGAUGGCAGCAGAGGGAAGGUCUGACAGAAUGCUGUUUGACAUGGGAGCAUGCAUGAAAUGUGGAAUUCCUCCAUGUGGGAAAAAUUGCACCCACUGAUAUUCAUUGACACUUGCUGAACAUAUAUGGAGACCAAACAGUGGAUGUGAACACAGUGAAGUGAUGUGUGGUGUUUCAGCAGUAGCAACAGUGAUGUGAAAGACAAGCCAUAUUCCAGAUGGCCAUGAAGAUUUUUAUGAGCACAACAUUCAGGCCUUUGUUCAUUGCUAGUGAUGAAUAUGUACAAAAAUAGUAUCCUGUAGCUGAGAAUUUUGUCUGUCAGUGUUAUUGUACUCUUUGUGUCUGUUAUAGUUUCCAUGGAAAUAAAUAGGAGGCAUUACUUUUGGAACUACCAACAGAGAUAACCAGCUAUAAGCCAAAUUUCUAACUUUCAAAUGACUAAAUUUAGGUUAGAUGUAGUCCAUGCAUAACUGUAUUUUCUUAUUCUAUGAAGAAUGUAAGAAUGGCUACAGUAGUUUAUAUCCUAAGUCUCAACUGAUGGCUAGUAUUGCUUGUCUAGAAAAGAGUUUAUGAUAAGGGAAAUAAUAUGUCCGCAUUGUUCCCUAUAUGUUUGCAUUCUUCAGUCAUCUGACACUAAGCAUGAUACUCAGUUUGAGAUUUGGUCUUCAUAUCACAUUCAAAUAGGAAAUGCUGAGUGAUUUAAUGUAACUAAUGCAAUCUAAUCUGUAGCCAUUAGACAAAAAUAACAAUUAGACGUGCCACUUUUCUGCAUGGAUAUUACAAAUUUAAGGCCAUCCCUUAUAAAUGAAAAAUGCUACUUCAGAGUGUUUACUGAAAACAUGAGGGCAUUUUUACCACAAGAAAACUACACAGUGAUUGUUAUCUCCAUGUAAAAUCCUAACAGGCAUAAGGUAGAGCUAGUUUUAACCUCAGAGCACUGAGAUAAACCUGAAGAAGUAAAUACAAAGCUGACCUUCACUGACCAUAUCAAGGCAUAGAUAUAGAUAGCUAUUACAUUGUUUGAGAUAUUCUCUUUUUUGUUUUAUUUAUAAUAAAAUACUUCUGUCCUUUAUUUCUCCUUACUUCAGUGAUAUAAUAUGGAUGCUUUUCCAGUUCAGAGGUGAAGUUUUUUUCUCUGCAAAAGUAACUCUAAUCCCAGUUUUGUCCACUUCUGUGUCUGCAUUUCUUUAACUGGUCACUGAAUCACAAAAUCACAGAAUUGCAGAAAUUGAAAGAGACCUCAAGAGAUCAUCGAGUCCAGCCUGCCCCUGCUAAAGCAGGUACCCUACAAGAGGUCACACAGGUUGCUGAUGAUGUUGAACAAGACCAGACCCAGCACUGACACCUGGGAAGCACCGGUAAUUAAAGGCCUCAAGCCAGAUUCUGUGCUGCUGAUGACAACCCUGUGAGCUCUGACAGUGAAACAGUUCUCAAUCCAGCUAACUGUCCACUCAUCUGUGCCACAUUCUCUACAUUUCAUAACCGGGAUGUUGUGGGAGACGGUGUCAAAUGCCCUACUGAAGUCACGGUACACAACAUCCACUGCUCUCCCUCCAUGUACCCAGACAGUGGUGACAUCAUAGAAGGAUAUCAGGUUGGUCAAGCAUGAUUUCUCCUUGGUGAAUACAUAUUGACAACUCUUGAUAACUUUCUUCUCUUCCAAUUGCUUGGAGAUGGCGUAAAGAGCAAGUUGUCCAUCAUCUUUCUAGGGAUGGAGGUGAGGCUGACUGGCCUGUAGUAUCCCAGAUCCUCCUUCUUGCCCUUUUUGAAGACUGGAGUGACAUUCUUUAUCUUCCAGUCUUCAGACACCUCUCCCAUUUGCCAAGACCUUUCAAAGAUUAGAUAGAUAGCAGUUUAGCAGUCAUCUAUUUUAGUUCUCUCAGCACAUUUGGGUACAUCCCAUCAGGUCCCAUGGAUUUAUGUACAUUGAUUUUGGCUAGAUUCACUCUGACCAGAUCCACCUUGAUCACUGGAAAGUCCUCCUUUGCCCAGACUCUCUUACCUCCAGGGUCUGGAAUUCCAGAGGGCUAGUCUCAGCAUAAAAGACUGAAACAAAGAGGGCAUUCAGGAUCUCUGCCUUCUCAGCAUCCCCUGUUACCAAGGCACCCAUCUCAUUUAGUAGGGAACCCACAUUUUCCCUAGUCUUCCUUUUACUGUUGACAUAGUUAAAAAAAAUAUUUCUUCUUAUCCUUUUCCUCCUUUGAAGGGUUUAAUUCCAAGAGGGCCUUAGCCUUCCUACAAUUCCUGAAAACAUUCCUUACUCUUGCCACCUUUUCCCAGUUUCUUACUCUUACUGGCCCAGGAAUGGACCAGUCUUGAGCUUGGAAGAAAUUGUGUUUAAGCACCAACUAGCUCUCAUGGUUCCCCUUUCCUUCUAACACUCUAGCCCAUGGAAUAACUCCAAGUAGGUCUUUGAAGAAGUUGAAUUUGUCUCUCGUGAAGUCCAGGGUAGCAAUUCUACUUAUUGCUUUGCUUCUCCCACACAAGAUCUUGAACUCCACCAUCUUGUGACUGCUGCAUCCCAAGCUUCUCCCACAUAUCACAUCCCUGACCAGCCCUUCCUUGUUAGUAGAAACAAGUUCAAGUAGCACACCCCUCCUAGUCGGCUCCUCCACUACUUGUGUCAGAAAGCUGUCAUCAAAGCAUUGCAGGAACUGCCUGGACCUUGUGUGACUGUCCAUGCUUCUUAACCAACAAAUAUCAGAAUGGUUGAAAUCCCUGAUAAGAACCAGUGCUGGGGAUUGCAAGGCUUCUUCCAGCUGUUUGUAGAAGGCCUCAUCCACUUCCUUCUCCUGAUCAGGUGACCUGUAGUACACAUCCACAACAAUGUCACCUAUGUUAGCCCUCCCCUUAAUUCUUACCCACAAAUUCUACACUUGUUCCACCCAAGUGGAGCUCAAUACAUUCUAAUUGCUUUCUUGCAUGAACAGCAACUCCACCACUUCAUCUUGCCAGCUGGUCUUUCCUUAAGAGGACAUAGCCAUCCAUGACAGCAUUCCAGUCAUGUGAGCUGUCCCACCAUGUCUCCAUGGCUGCAAUGAAAUCAUGGCCCUGUGAUCACACACAGAUAUAUAGUUCUUCCUGUUUAUUUCCCAUGCUGUGUACAUUGGCAUAUGGGCACUUUAGGGAAGCAGAGGGUGCAGAUAUCUCUAGAGGAGUGCUGAGGGUUUAAGCUGAGCUAUUGGCAAAGGAAACUUGUUAACCUAAGUUAAAUAAUUAAAAAAGGAAGUAUCUGAGAGGUAGGCCUGAGAAGUACUGAUAAUUGCUGUCAUACCUUACGAGAAUAUUAAAAAUCAUUUGUCUGUUCCUCUUCCCACUUUAUACUACAUCAUUCACUCAAAUUUGCAUGAUGUUUUCAAUUGCUUCAUGUUGAAUAUCAGAUUAAGAAGUAUCACAUAUCCAGUAUAAUUUCUUAUCCCUUCCUGGGUGCAUCUUCAUGUUUACUGUCAUUCACACUGGAAAUUCCCAGUAAAUACAAAAAAUGUGAGAAUACCAUGAAUGUAAGUCACUGAAAGUGGUAUCUCCUGUUUACUUCCAUGGAAAACAAAACAGAUACAAAGAGCACAAUAACGCUAUUUGAUAGAGCAAAUUCUAAGCCACAAACUACUAUUUUUCAACAUGAUUACCUUUACUUUUGCCAGCAGCGAACAAGAGUUUCCAUGCCACGUUCAUAAAAUCUGCUCCAUUGGAGGCGACCUACUGCUGCUAUCACCAUUGCUGAAACACAUCACCCACCACCUCACUGCUCACAUACACUGUUUGGUCUCCAUAAGCAUUCAGCAAGUAUUGAUGAAUGUCAGUAGGUACAAUUAUUUUUGAAUGGAGGAAAUCAAUGACACACCUUUGCUUCAUAACACCCUACAGUAUUUUAUCAGACUGCCCCUCUAACGCCAUCCAGCACACAGCAACAAAAUAUAGAGUAUUGGUGGGAAGGUUCAGCCUCUACUGCUAUAUAACCAACAUUCCAUGUCUGCCAUUGCAGGCCAAUGUAAUAAAAUAUGAUGCAUCACUUUUGGAGCAGCCAUCAUGCCAUGAGUAUUUUGGCUUUCAUAUAUUGUAACUGAUAUAAUAUGUUCAACUUUUCUUAAUAUAAUAGUUUAGAGUCUUAUUUUUAUUUACUAUUUUCUUUCUUGUUCCUAAGAAAGUCUUUGAAUGUUGCAACUCUCAUUAUCCAGUCUUGCUGGGAAAACCAUAAAAAAGUCAAAGCACCUAUAUAUGUAGAAAAUAUAAUAUGAAGCAAAUCAAGAAUGAAAGAUAAAGAAUUAACUCAGAAAACAAUGAGAUUUGUAUUUUAAAAAAUACAUAACUUUGACUUUUUAUUAUUAUUCACAUAUAUUCUGCCUACAAGUUCUAAACUCUUAGAAAUACUGCAGUUGAUAAUCACACAGAGCAUUCCAAAAGCACCAAUAAAUUCAGUGAAAUACUCAUGAUGGUGACCUUAUGUUAUUAGUGUUACCUCAAAAAAGUCUCAAUAUAUGUAGCUGACAGCUGUACAUGUGCAUUUUGCUUCGGUAUAUCAGAUUUUUGUGCAGAUGAAGAUUGUGUUAUGACUGUCUCUUUCAUAGGUGAUAACAGUUCUGUUUCUCUUUGAGAGGUGCAAAACACAAUUGCUCCUAUGUGAUCCACAGACCUUAUGGAUGUGGAGGGUGAAAUAUUACUUAGGACAACUGUGUAGAUGCAACAAACUAUCAGCAUUGCAUAAACCAUUCUCCAUAUUUUGUCAUUUGACAGUUUCUGAUUUAUGCUGUUUCUCCAUCCAUCUGAAGUAGGUGUUUUUGUGCUUGUGUCAUGACUCUGUGUGAGUCCAGUUUCCUUCAGACAUACUUCUGGUUCCUGGCAUUACUCUUUCACCACACAGACUGUACGGAGUGCAUUUCAAAAGCUACCCUACCAAAUAAAAUAAUGGCUAUUUCUAGAAAUGUUGGUAGACCAAACUCUUUCUGUAGGCAGUCUUAGGCCAGUUGUAAAUAUCUAUAUUUAAAAAUACAAGCAUAACUCUAGAUUCCAGAGCAGCAGAAGUAUCUCAUUGAAUCAACUCCGUCUGUUUUUAGGCAUACUUUCAUGAUUCACAAAAUGAAGUCUUAUCUAUUACUUUCUACAGACCUUGUUCUUCUUCUUGUUUUCCUUUAAAGAAGAAAAGAUGCAAAAGCGGUGGUACCUACAUGUAGAAUUCUGAAAAUAAUGGAAAUUAAGAUAAUAAAUCUCUCCUAACAAGAACAUAUAUGAUGUUUCUGCUUCUUAGAGAUAAGUCAGGUGUUUGGAAAGCUUCUUGCAAUCACUGAGUGUAGUGCUUUAGAAGUCUUGUCUGUUGAGUGAGAAAAAAGAACAAAUAGAAGGCAGGUCUUUCUUAUAUAAGGGUUUCUAACACUCAGUAUUCAUCAAAGCCUCUAUCCUGUCCAACCCUUUUACAAUGAUCUCAUUUUCAUGAGAAGAAACAAGUGUUUGUUAAAGUAUUACGUCUCCUGCUAUAUAUCAAGGGUUUGUGACAAAGCCCGAACAAGUGACCAAGACACAUCUUUUAUACAUUUUCAGUCCUAAAGAAGAGACUGGACUGGGGCUUUCUUAGAGUCAUAUUCCUUGUAUCCACAAACAAGUAACGAUGUUGCAUAAAUUAGCGACUGCAUCUACCCUUUCUAAGAGAGGAAAGGAGAUGUUUUCUGUGUAAUAAAUCGGCUGCAAGACUAACUAAAUGCAUUUUGUAGUACUUUUUAUGGAGCAAGUGCAAUAUUUUUUACAGAUAAAGCAUAGCCAAGAGCAAAGGUUGAUGAUGGCUAUAUAAUUAAAGGCAUUCAAACUGUGCAAGUUGUCUGCCAACAAACGCUUUGCAAUGAAAAAGGCUCCAUAUUCAGCAACUGCUUUAAAAAUACUGUUCAAGCAUGGAUUUCCUUAAACUACCACUUGUCUGGCAAUGGCUUCCUCACCUGUGUAAUAAGAUUAAGAGAUCUACUUGAAAGCCAGAAAAGCUUUGCAAGUCAAGUGGAUAUUUGCAUAUUUUACAUUGCCAAAUACCUAAAGGAGAGAAACGUUUUCUGAAAGAUGAGGAAAACGUACAGAACACUAGAACUAGCACAAGGUUUUUAGACUCAAAGCAGCCCAAGUUCCUGAUUUUUGCCAGCUCUGCCAGCAUUGUUAAGUUAGUAAAAAAUAAAAAUAAAAAUCUGUUUGCAAUGACUGCAUGAACUUUACAAACUAGUAAAUAGUUAAUAUUUAAUCUUAAAUGUACUUCGGGUUUUAAAUCAAGAGAAACUAUUUCAGUGUCUCAGGUGUCAGAUGGGGUAGCUAAUGAAGUGCUUUCUUGAGUGAUUUCUGUCACAAGCCUGCAUUCUGCAAAAUAGACCUUGGAAGAUUACAGAUACAUCAGAGGUAUCUGUAGAUACCUUUCAAGAAUAAAAAUAACAAAAUAACCUUACUGUAGUGUUUUGUGACAUUUAUUUUCUUUGAAUAGCAAAAUACACUCUAUAUCAGUUUCAAAAAUAAAAUAAAUUUUAAAAAGUGUCAAUUUUCUUAAUGUGAUUUGCUUUAUUUUGCUAGCAUGAGAUUACUGAAAUCAGUUGGAAUACCUGAAUACAUUAAAAAUAGGGGAAAUGCAAUGUGUUAUGGGCAAAAAGUUCUAUAUUGAAUAGAAAAUUAUGGUAAGUCACAAAUAUUUCUGCUUAGUCUUAUACUAAGUACAGGCAAACAGUAAGCUUUCUCUUUUAAAUCCUGCCAGUUCAGGCCAGUAGUGACCCACAGUAUACUUUUCCUGUCCAGAAUUUCUCUUGAGAAAAGCUUGCCAAUCACACAAAAUUACUUGGUGCUUUGGGGAUCUGGACAUAUACAGAUAAGGGAAUCAACUACCAAACUUAUUUGAUGUGUAUCAUAAAUCAGAAGUGAACGUUAGUCUCCCAAGGGAACAAAAAAAAAUGGCCUACUGUAUUAAAAUACUUUGAUACCUUUGAUGUUCAAUGUUUAGAGCAUGAACUAUUUUCUAAACAUCUUUGAACUGAAGCUGAAAGAUACACUACUGAAAUCUACUCUUGCCUUCCUGCCUGCUUUUUUUUUUUUUUUUUUUUUUUUUUUUUUUUUUUUUUAACCAGCAAGGAGCAUCAAUUCCAUCUUAGACACAGAUAUGUGAUCAUUUGGCAAUGCUCUAAAAUUCUAAUUUAAAAUUGUUAUUUUCUUCUGUGCACAGGAAGACAUUUUUUGGUGGUUUUCUUUCAGGGGAGUGAAUGGUUUUUAGUUUUUCACCAAUUGAUAUCAUGAGAGAGAAUGAAAGACUGUGUAUACAUAAGCCACUGAAUAAUCAGUGAACCCAUUUAAGAGAGAUACCUACUGAGGUCAAUGAAAUUGGCAAUCUAAUGAACAAUCUAAUAGUAUUGUUACAAGUUUUAUGGUUUCUGUUUGUAAUUAACUUUAUGUGACAUUUAUUAUAAAAAGAUCGAAAAUUAUUAGUAGCAAUUACAUUUAAUGCAGCCAUGCAAUUGCACUUAUAUACUUAUUCAACUUUUAUUUUCAUUGACUCCCUGCUUCCUAAGUUAAUGCCUCUCUAUGUAUCAAACAACUUCAAUGUUUAUGAACUUUGGCCAAUAUGAGUAGAAAGUCUUUGUUUUCAUAAUGAUUUAUUUGAAUUCAGUUCUGUGGAUUUUAUCUGGAUACAUUUCUUGCUAUAUGAGAGAAAUCUCUUGAACAAAAGGAAGAAAAAGUAAUCCUUUAUAUUGUACUCAGUUCAUAGUUUCUUUGAAGUGAUGCUGAUAAAGGCAGUUUUGUGUUUUUCAGAAUGGAUUACUAACACAGUAAUAAUCAAAGAGCUGAUUUGUGUCAGUUGUACCACAUAGGGAAGACCCUCUAACUAGAUAUUUUAGAUGUUGAUAGCAUUUAUGAUUGAGUUUUGUAUAUACUUUGUUACAGAUGUGCAUAACUGUCAAAACCCAGGUUUUGUGAAAUGCUAAAAUGAACACACAGACACUGAAAAUAUGAAAAAGUUACAAUUAUGUUAUUCACCACUGAGUUUACAAAAACAGCACAGGUGUCAUUGCCACAGCAAGUCCAUAGAGUUAGUCUGUAUGUUCCACUGCCUCGUCCUGUAGCCCUGAAGUCACAGGUGCCACUGUCAGGCUGAAACCUCCUUUCAGAUGCUCUCUGUCUGGAAGCUUCAAAUCUACUGGAGAAUUCAAAUAGAUGCGAAAAGUCUUUGCAUUUUCUCUACUCAUAUUCACACUGUUCCUUGCCAGUGCUGUCAUAGCCAUGGACUCUACAGGAACAUAAGCAAAAGUCAUUCCAUAUCAGGGAAAAGCAUGUGAUACAGUCACAACAGCCCCUUGUAACACAAUAAGCAUAGGGCAAAGUGGCUGGAAAGCUCCAUACUGGAGAAGGAUUCGGGGGGUUAGUUGACAGCCAGCUACACAUGAGCCAGCAGUAAGCCCAGAUGUCCAAGAAGGCAUCCUGGGUUAUAUCAGAAAUAUUGUCUGCCCAGGGAAGUGGUGGAUUCACCAUCCCUGGAUGUUUUCAAGGAAAGGGUAGAUAUGACACUUAGGGACAUGGUUUGUGGGCAUGGUGGUGAUGAAUCAGUGGUUGAAUUAGAUAAUGUUAGUGGUCUUUUUCCACCUUAAUGAUUCUCUGAUCCUAUGAUCAUUAAAUAGGGAAGAUAUCUGAAUAAUAGUUCCAAGGAGGCAUAUAGCAGUUUCAGGGAGAAAACUUAUUGACAGACUGGAACAUUUUGAAAUUUCCAAAUUAAAAUUUCUGAACAAUUAUUUUAUCUGUGCAAAAAUCAUAUUUGGAUAUUUUACAACAAUCUGUGGGGAGGGCUACUGUUACUUUUGAUAAUAAUUCAUUGGUGCUUUUAUUGUUUCUUGGCUGACUUUCAACAUGUAGCUCCUACAAUGCAAGGGAAGGUAGACACGGUUUCUGUUACUACACUGAUGGAAUAUUGAAACCUGAAUUGAAGUGCAUUAGCUGAAGUCAGACAAGGUUGUGGUAGCGAUCACUAGGGAAAUUAGAAAACCUUGAAAAACUUUGAAGACAUUUUUUGCUAGGGCACCUAUGUAUUAAAAAACUGUGUCUCUCAGUUAUGAUAAAAUUGUAUUACAUAACCUGAGUGAUCUCAGGAGUUAGUAAGUGACUGAUUUUCUGUUCCCUUGGUAAGCAAUAAUUCAUGCAAACAGAUUGACUGAAGUUUUACCGUGCUAGUGUAAAGAGAAAACAGUGAAAUAUUGUUUGAGAUGUUUUUACAAGUGAAAAUGACAGCAUAUGAAGAAAUAUGUUAUAAAACAGGACAGUAUUAAAAAAGUAAAGAAAGCUAAGCUCAGUCUUUUGAAGAAAAAUAUUAAAGAAGUUGGUAGGAAAAAAAAAGAACUCGUUUCAUGUACAUAGAGAGAAAACAGGCAUUAAUAACCUGCAUGUGCACAGAUCAGCAAAUUUAUGAAGAUAUGUAUGAACAGAGAACACGACUUCAAAGCCAUUUGUAAUUACAGAAUGGUUUAUAUUUAAUCCUAAAUGUAUGGAAGGGGAUAAUGAGCUGGGAAAAAAUGAAGGCAUAUCGAACUAUUCUAGCAAAAACAAGGGAAUUUUUGCCAUUUUGUGUACUUUCUAUAGGCUAGAGGGACAAAUUUGUGUAUAGUAGAGUUCCUAUGAAAUUCAGGGUUCUGAUUUGACACAUGAAGUGAAAACAUCUUGGAUGCUUUAAUUUUACUGUGAAAAAACAGCAUAUGAUAUCAUGCACAUUAUAUAUGCAUAUAAAUGAUAUUAUUUUAUGGGUUUUAUGAUCUUUGUUACUGGUAUUCCACAUCAUAAUAUCAUGUAAAGCAUUGGGAGUUAAAAGUUGAGAACAAUUAAUUCUGUUAUUUUUUAUGUAGCAGCUAAUCACAAGGCAAAAUGCUUCCUUUGAUAGGAUCUGAGAAACUGAAAAGCUUGCCUCAGAGAAGUAUUCAUCUCAGCUAAUUUUAAACACUUAUAACAUGGAAGUCUGCAUCUGAGCUAAUGGCCUUAGGCACAUAUGACCUUUCCCUGGUCCACCAUAGAUGAGAUGAGAAGAAAUCUGAAUCUAAAUCCAAAAGAGCAUUUGAAUGUGGAAGUAAAAGCCUGCAUUGUGAAGCCUGAGAGAGAAAUUUGCCCAUGCUUAAUGGUAUUAAUAAAGAUCUGGGGAAGUAGAAUUGAAAAAUUCAGAAGCUUUUUUUUUUUUUUUUUUCUUUUUAAUAUCUUGAUGUCUAAGAAUAAAUAAUAAUCCUUUUUCUUUGUAUUCACUUAAAACCGUAAGUUUGCCAAGACAAUUAUUUUCUUGUUUUCCAUAGUUAAUAUUCUGCAAAGUCUUCAAUAAGGAGGUUUCACAGAUGAUUUAAGAACACUUUGAAAGUAUAAUGUACUUCUGUGAAAUGUGGAGGCUGCGAUGAAAUAUUUAAACAUCAAUGGAUUGAGAUGGAAAAUACCUAAUGGCUUUCCUUGCGGAAUCAUGUAUUGAAUAUUUUGGAUUCAUUUUAAAUCUUAGGGGAUCCACCUAACAGUUUAAUUGCUGAGAAAAAAAAUGCUGCAAUUGACAUCUAAACCAAAUUGCUUUAACCAAGUCCUGAAUUAAAAAUAUUUGUGUUUUUAUUACAGAAUAUGAAUUUCAAUAUAUCCGUAAUGGCAGAAUCUCCCAAAAAGCUAUUAACUGAGAUAACUGGCUGAGGAAAUCAACCCACUAAGCAAUUUUGUGAAAAUUAAAAUUCAUUUUCCACACAUUGUAGUGUACUGGUUCAGUAUAGCACCAGUUCAGUAUAGCACCUUUUUCUGUGAUAUUUCCCAUUUGUUAAAAUAGGAGUAGUAGUCAUCCUGUUUCUACCAGUUUAAGAGCCUUAAUACCAGCAAAGCAAGAGUGCUGAGGAUUUGACAGACACGCUUAGGUCAUUAUUUCAUAGUGCAAAUAUUUUUUAAGUAUGUACAAGGUAAAACCAAAUGAAACAAAUCCAUUAAGCAUCAUUUUUUAUAGCUUUUCUUCCUAUUCCUUGGAAACCUCUGGGGACAGUGAUUCCACCACCUCCCUAGGCAGCCUGUUCCAAUACUUCAUCACUCCAAGAACUUUUUCCUGAUAUCCAACCUGUUCAGCUAUCCCCCAGUUCAACUCAAAGCCGUUACCUCUUAUACUACUACUGUUACAUGUGAGAAGAGACCAGCCUCCAUCUUGCUACUUCUUCCUCUCAGACUAUUACAGAGCUGUAAGAUCUUUCCUGAGCCUCCCCCUCUCCAGACUAAACAAUCCCAGUUCCAUCAGCUGCUCCCCACAGGACUUUUGUUCCAGACCUUCCAGCAGCUUCUUUGCCCUUCUUAGGAUAUGGUCCAGGGCCUCAGUGUCUUUCUUGUAGUGAGGGGUUCAAAACUGAACGCAGUAUUUGAGGUAUGGCCUCACCAGUGCUGUGUACACGGCAAUGAUCGAUCUCAUGCCUAGUUCUGCUGACUACACUCUUUCUGAUACAAGCCAGAAUGCUAGUGUUCUUGGCUACCUGAGCACACUGUUGAGUCAUGUUCAGCUGAGCACUGGCCAAGAAUCCCAGGUCAUUUUCCACCAUGCAGGUUUCCAGCCACUCUACCCCAAGCCUGUAAUGUUGCACGUGGUUGUUGUGACCAAAGUGCAGGAUUCAGUACUUGGUCUUGUUGAAGCUCAUGCAAUUGGCCUCAGUCCAUCAAUCUAGACUGUCCAGAUACCAACGUAGAACUUUUCUACUCUCAGACAUGGUUUCAUCUGAAGAUUUACUGAUGGCCCACUUAAUCACCUUGUCCAGAUCAUCAAUGAAGAUAUUAAACAGGACCAGCACUAAUACUGACCCCUGGAGAACACCAUUUGUGACUGGUCACCAGCUAGAUUUAACUCCAUUCACCACCACACUCUGGGUCCAGCCCUCCAGCCGGUUCUCUACCCAGUGAAGACUGUACCUGUUCAAGCCAUGGACUGCCAUCUUUUCCAGGAGAAUGCUGUGGGACACAAUGUCAAAGGCUUUAUUCAUGUCUAGGUGGACUACAUCCAUAGCUUUUCCCUCAUCUACUAGGGAAUUUUUGUAGUCAUGAUCCAAAUUUUCAGAAGGUAUCUCUGUAUCCUGAUGAAGAGAUCUUUUAAAUGGCUCAUUGAAGGAGACUCAGAUUGCCUAGAAACUGAUGCGCAUUAUGGUUCCACACCCUUACUCAUAAUUUUUAUAAUUAAUAAAAAUUCAGAGAGAAACUCCUUCCAUUUUAAAUUUGCCCAUAGCACUCCUGUGCUAGAGUUUAGAAUUCUCGACUCUGAAGAUAAACGGAAAAUUAUUUUUUCUAAUUGUAUCCAGGAGCUUUUAUGUAGCAUAUUUUAAAAUGUCACAAAAUAAUGAAGUUUAGAUAAGCCAUUAAGGAAAAAACAUGUUUUUCAACUGAGUAAAGAUGCCAGCAAUUCAAACAAUAGUGCUGCAUUUGUCAGAUAAUUAGCCAAUGAUUGUCUUUUGAACUCUGAAAAUAAAUUUAGAAGGAGCAGAUAUGCUGUGCUGUAAAAUGUGAGAGCUUUCAGAGUUUUUUUUUCUUCUUCUUUUUAAGACUUUUGCUUAAAGAUUUUUUUUUGAAGUGUUUUCUAACUAAGUACUUGAAUUAUGUACACAUGAAUAGCCUUUAAGGAAAUCAUACAGGUCUCUUCAACUAUAUGCUAUACAGAUUUUAAUUUUACAGAUUUUUAUUAUUUUAGUUCCACUAAAUGCUUUUAGUUAAGGUUGACCAAAAUUUUCCCCUUUGAGACCAGUUUUUAAAUUCCUUGUAAUUGCCAUAUUUAAACUGUUCAUGCUGUUGUGCCCCAUGCCAUAUGUCUACUCUGGGAUGAAUCAGUUUGGAAAAUUCCAUAAAAAUGGCUCAGUAGUUUUGCAGUAUUGACAAAAAUGCUUUUUUUUUCCCCCCAUAACUAAUAUAUUAUGCUGAAGCAGUUAACUUGAAUACUGUUGUUAUUUCCUAAUGAACCUCUGUUUAUGUUGUAUUGAUGUCCUGUAGAAAUGAGUCCAAAUGAAACUUCUGAUAAAAUCUUAGUAACUUGUGGGAAUACAAGAAAAACUGUUCAGAGGAGCAGCUGUGGAGCAAGAUAAACAGCAGUAAGCAAAAGAGCAAAACAAACAAAAAUUGAUCUCUCCUCCCAGCUAUUCAUUUUACUAGGGAUCAAACUCUAUGGUCAAGUAAAAGUUUUUGAUGAACGUUACUUUAGAAUAAAUAUAUCUAAUUAAUUGAAUAGUACUUAAAACGUCAUUUCAACUCUACACAUUUAUUUUUUAGGUGCAAAUCUUUCCCAAGAAUAUUCACAGAACAGAGAAUCAGGCGUAAAACCUAUCUACAUUUACACACUACUUUUUGACAGCAACAUCUUAAAUGUACUAUACUAUUCUGACAUUUUUAAGAGAACUUUUAAGAGAAAAUACUUGUGAGUAUCUGCAGUUCAAAUUUAUGCUAUUCUUUCUUUAUGGUAACUCACAAUAUUGUACACUAACUAUCAAAAGAAAGAAAUUUGUGAUUCCCCUGCAAUAUUUGCCUUUGGAUAAAAGAGGAAAAAAAAUCUAAUGCCUUCACAGACUGUAAUAAGUCUAAAAUUCACAAACUAAACCUCUAGUUCUAAUAACAUGGAAAACAUGCUUAACUCUGGUCACUCAAAUACUUCAGGGUAAGUCCACCUUCAUCUGUUGAAUACUCUUGCAUCCUCAGCACAGUAGCCAGGAAAAUUGACUGUGUGACAUAUCCAAGGUUUUUUUUUGUUUUGUUUUUACCAUGGAAGCCACUCUGUGUUCAUGUGCCUGCUUAUCCUACUGCUUGUUGUUGGUUUAGCCUGGCAGGCAGCUCAGCACUACACAGCCGCUCAUUCUGUUUCUGCCACACUCUUCCUCGCAGUGGGAUGAAUGAAAGAAGUGGAAAAAAGGGUAAAACUCGUGGGUUGAUAUAAUUGCAGUUUAUAAAACAGGAAAGGAAGGGAAAAUAAUGAUAUUGGUCUUAGAAGCCGCUAUUUCCCCUCUCCCUACCCCCCUUCUGGACAACUCCCCCAGUUUUAUUGUUCCAUAUAAUGCCAGAUGGCAUGGGAUAUCUCUUUGGCUAGUUUGGGUCUGUUGUCCUGAUUCUGUCCCUCCCCCCAGCUUCUUGUGCACCCUCAGCUCCUCACUGGCAGAGCAAUACAAGAAGCAGAAAAAACCUCAGUGCUGUGCAAGCAUUGCUAUGCAACAGAUAAAUAAUCGGUGUGCUGUCAACAUUAUUGUCAUCUGUCUCGAUCCAAUUUAUCGAAGAGAGAGGAGGUUCUUUGAUAUAUGUAUACCCAGCAUGAGAUUAAGAAACAACGGUUCAAAUGUUGGUCCGACCAGUUUAUUAUAAAUUCUAGUUGUUCAGGGAGAAGGGGAAGGGAGAAGGGCAAUAGAAAAGAUAGGAAAUGGAAGCAAGGAGUCUGUGUAGGAAGCAAGAGGGAGAUAGUCACCACCAUGGGUUCAAUGUGGUUCGUAGGUCAGUCCUCGAUCUUCAGUAGUGGUGGGUCAUCAGGCGUUGUUGUUCUGUUGACAAGUGUCCACGGCGACGGUGACGAUGGCGACGACAAUGACUGCAAUGGCAAUACAAACUUAUUCAUAAGUCCAAAGUGGUGGAGUCAGCUUUCUUUUGAGUGACAGCUCGAAUCCAAAGUGGUUGAGUCAGCUCUCCUUGGAGUGGCAGCUACUGGCUCUGGGAUCUUAGCAGAAACUGCUUUGUGACCAUCUUCCAGGCCUUGCCAGCAGAUAAGAGGGAGCAGGAAUGCCCAUCUGCAUCCUGUUUUUCACAGGGCACGAUGGUAUCAUUCCCCAAUUUUCCCACACCAAGCUGCGUCUAUUUAGUCACAGGCCAAAUCUUCCGCUAGAAACCACUCCUGAGCACUCUCUUCCAGAGACAAACAGCUCCAAAGAAGUGCUUUCAAAUGUAAAAUUGUCCACACAGUGACGUGUAUUGCCACAGGGCAGCACCCACCUCUCAUCUAAGUCAGAGUCUUAUCGCAAGAAAUGCCUCAGAAAGCAAGCUUUGAGCCAAAAACCAAAGAAGGAUUUAUACAUCAUCCUAAAUACAAAAUGCAGCACCAUACCAGCUACCAGGAAGAAAAUUAACUCUAUCUCCACAGAAAGCACACUGCUUUCUUCUCACAGUAUGGAAUUUGAGGAGGGCUAAAUUAUACCCACUCACAAGGGAACUUGGUAUUGUUUCUCAAUUUAGUAAGCUAGCAUAAUAAGUAUAGCUUUGGAAAAGUAGGCAGACUCUCUGAGUAGGUAAGUACACAAAUAAGUUAUUUGCAGAUAGAUAAAGGACAGAAAAUGAAAUGGAAAAUAAAAAUAUAUUUGCUUGCCAAAUUACACUUUAUAAUGUGAUCGUAACUCUUUAUUUUUGUGUUUCGUGUAUAUAAUUUAUUUUUCUGUACCAACACUUCAGCUGAAAUCUCCCAGAGGAUCAUUAUUUAUCACUGAUUUAGAAUUAUAAAAUGACAAAAGACUUCCACUAAACAUAUUAUUAAAAAAAAAAAAAAAAAAAACACACACAACAAAAAAACAGUCAAUCAGUGUGUUGAAAUUAAUGGCAAUCUACAAAAUUUCAUUAUACUCAAUCACCAUUUAGCACACGAAUAAAGAAAAUUAAAGUUUCUCUUUUUUCACUAUCUAUCUGCCCUGGCUCAUUUUAGUUGCUUCAGCAGCUCUCUGAAAAAGAUAUAUGUUACCACAUCUCCUCAAGGGUACUAGAUAUGUGCUAUUUCUGAUUAAGGAGACUUCACUAAGAAUGUCCUGCCAAUAUUCUUAUCCCUUUUACAGCUAGAAGGAUCCUACUUGAGUGACAUCUGACGUGUCAUGCUUGAGGUGCAACUGUAAGACCACUAUGCCUGAGAAGACAGUAAUGGUUUUCCAGAUCAGUUCAGAAAGAACAGGCCUUGUCUUUUAGCUUUCAAGAGCUUAUCACAAUGUUGAUCAUCCAGGACAGGUGACUAAUUUAGUCUUUGUUGCUGUUUGACUUUAAGCUCAGGUAAGCUGCAUACCUCCCCAGUAUCACCAAACUUUUUUCAUUAUUUUGUUUCUCUACUCUUAUCUCCAACUGCUGCUAGACUAUUCCCCACCUUAGACAAGAGACUUGGCACCUGCAUUAAUUAAGAAUGUUCUUAUUGCAUUAUUGAAAGAGGUUGCACCAGUGUCCCUUGCAGUUACAUAACACACCAGAAAGCUAAAUACCUAAGGAUCAAACAUUAGUUUUUGUUCUGGUGAGACUAGUCUGAUUUGAUAUAGACACCUAAAUGGCAGCUAUCUACAUAUGAAGCAGACACACACCAAGUAGGAGAAAAGGACAUUUUUAGGCCAUGGUUUAUCUGAUUUUUUUUCAAUUGUCUACAUUAGAGGUUAGUUUUGCCCUGAAGAGUGUUUGAUUUUUUCUGUUGAUUAUGAAGGGAGACUACAGUAUGUAGAUCAAAUGGAGACAUGUAAAUUUCUACAGGCAGAGGCAACUACAGCCUUCUCUCUGGCAAAGCAGCAUGAAAAACUGAAAAGUCCUUGUGGGCACUGCUCAGCAACAACAAAAAAAUCAGUAUGUUAUCAACAUUGCCUCAUCCGAAAAACAAAACACAG